UACGUAGGUGGCAAGCGUUGUCCGGAUUUACUGGGCGUAAAGCGCGCGCAGGCGGAUCGGUCAGUCCGAGGUGAAAGCUCCCGGCUCAACCGGGAGAGGUCCUCGGAUACUGCUGGUCUUGAGGUACUCAGAGGAGAGCGGAAUUCCCGGUGUAGUGGUGGAAUGCGUAGAUAUCGGGAGGAACACCUGUGGCGAAAGCGGCUCUCUGGGGGUUACCUGACGCUGAGGCGCGAAAGCGUGGGGAGCGAACCGG
rnacentral:rRNA from 1 species